rnacentral:misc_RNA from 1 species
AGCAGCCGCGGUAAUUCCAGCUCCAAUAGCGUAUAUUAAAGUUGUUGCAGUUAAAAGCUCGUAGUUGAAUUUCGGGAUCAAAGGAUCGGUCAUGCCUUGGUAUGUACUGGUUUUAUUGGUUCUCACCUUCUAAAGAACCAUAAUGUCAUUCAUUUGAUGUUAUGGGGAAUAGGACUGUUACCUUGAAAAAUUAGAGUGUUUAAAGCAGGCUUACGCUUGAAUACAUUAGCAUGGAAUAAUGAAAUAGGACAUCAGAUUCUAUUUUGUUGGUUUCUAGGAUCGAUGUAAUGAUUAAUAGGGAUAGUUGGGGGCAUUAGUAUUCAAUUGUCAGAGGUGAAAUUCUUGGAUUUAUUGAAGACUAACUACUGCGAAAGCAUUUGCCAAGGAUGUUUCAUUAAUCAAGAACGAAAGUUAGGGGAUCGAAGACGAUCAGAUACCGUCGUAGUCUUAACCAUAAACUAUGCCGACUAGGGAUCGGAUGAUGUUAAUUUUAUAAUGACUCAUUCC